UACAGAGGUCCCAAGCGUUGUUCGGAUUCACUGGGCGUAAAGGGUGCGUAGGCGGUCGGGUAAGUCUGAUGUGAAAUCUCACAGCUUAACUGUGAAACUGCAUUGGAUACUAUCCGGCUAGAGGAAUGGAGGGGAGACUGGAAUACUUGGUGUGGCAGUGAAAUGCGCAGAUAUCAAGUGGAACACCAGUGGCGAAGGCGAGUCUCUGGACAUUUCCUGACGCUGAGGCACGAAAGCCAGGGGAGCAAACGGG
rnacentral:rRNA from 1 species